rnacentral:rRNA from 1 species
UCUAAGCGUGAAGCCCCCCUCAAGAUGAGAUAUCCCAUCGCAAGAGUAAGACCCCUUGAAGACGACGAGGUAGAUAGGGCAGAGGUGGAAGUGCGGUAACGUAUGGAGCUGACUGUCACUAAUAGGUCGAGGGCUUAACCAAGUU